rnacentral:tRNA from 1 species
UUUGAUAGCUCAGUAGGUAGAGCAGCAAAAUGUUAAUUUGCCUGUCGCAGGUUCGAUUCCUGCUCAAAAACCA